GGCUCUAUAGCUCAGUGGCAGAGCACUGGUCUUGUAAACCAGGGGUCAUGAGUUCAAUCCUCAUUGGAGCCU
rfam:Gasterosteus aculeatus cont1.001108, whole genome shotgun sequence.